CAAUAAGCGGAGGAAAAGAAACCAACAGGGAUUGCCCUAGUAACGGCGAGUGAAGCGGCAACAGCUCAAAUUUGAAAUCUGGCGCAAGCCCGAGUUGUAAUUUGUAGAGGAUGUUUCUGGCGACGUGCCUUCCGAGUUCCCUGGAACGGGACGCCAUAGAGGGUGAGAGCCCCGUACGGUUGGAUGCCUAGCCUCUGUGAAACUCCUUCGACGAGUCGAGUAGUUUGGGAAUGCUGCUCUAAAUGGGAGGUAUACGUCUUCUAAAGCUAAAUACCGGCCAGAGACCGAUAGCGCACAAGUAGAGUGAUCGAAAGAUGAAAAGCACUUUGAAAAGAGGGUUAAAAAGUACGUGAAAUUGUUGAAAGGGAAGCGUUCAUGACCAGACUUGGGCAGGUUGAUCAUCCGUGGUUCUCCGCGGUGCACUCUGCCUGCCCAGGCCAGCAUCAGUUCGCCCCGGGGGAUAAAGGUUUCGGGAAUGUGGCUCCCUCGGGAGUGUUAUAGCCCGUUGCGUAAUACCCUGGGGCGGACUGAGGUUCGCGCUCUGCAAGGAUGCUGGCGUAAUGGUCAUCAACGACCCGUCUUGAAACACGGACCAAGGAGUCGUCUUCGUAUGCGAGUGUUCGGGUGUCAAACCCCUACGCGUAAUGAAAGUGAACGUAGGAGAGAGCUUCGGCGCAUCUCCGACCGAUCCUGAUGUUCUCGGAUGGAUUUGAGUAAGAGCAUACGGGGCCGGACCCGAAAGAAGGUGAACUAUGCCUGUAUAGGGUGAAGCCAGAGGAAACUCUGGUGGAGGCUCGCAGCGGUUCUGACGUGCAAAUCGAUCGUCAAAUAUGGGCAUGGGGGCGAAAGACUAAUCGAACCUUCUAGUAGCUGGUUUCCGCCGAAGUUUCCCUCAGGAUAGCAGUAUUGAACUCAGUUUUAUGAGGUAAAGCGAAUGAUUAGGGACCCGGGGGCGCUAUAUUGCCUUCAUCCAUUCUCAAACUUUAAAUAUGUAAGAAGC
rnacentral:rRNA from 1 species